ACGGACCAAUGCGUGAUUAAGCUCGCUCAAGACGGUGAAUUGCAGCUCAAGGGUGAAAAUGGCAGACGACUCGGGUGGCGCUCUGGCACUUCUGCACAGGGUGUGGAGGUAGCAUUAAUUAGCCCUAAUUCAAAUCACAUCUAAACAUAACCUGACGAAAAGCAAACUGAUCACUAACUUAUCUGGUUUACUUUGCUAGAAGCUAGUGAUUAUGGAGACGGGGAAUCUGGUUCUAGUGGACGCAAUCGGCAGAGUCAAAUGGCAGAGCUUCAACUUCCCGACGGAUGUAAUCCUG
rnacentral:lncRNA from 1 species